UGGACCCGGCGCCUCGCCCCCAGAUCUGCAUCGGAAUGCAGAAAAGAUCUUUAAAAAAAAAAAAAAGUUUUGAAUUCCUCAAUGAUUUUUCUUCUGGAAAGGCAGCUUAGGAUAAUUAUUUCAGCUUUAUUGAGGGCAGAUUAGUUAAAGUCUGGGCGCUGCGUUUCAAUACGCGUUGUACACGGCCGACAAUGUGG
rfam:Otolemur garnettii contig051360, whole genome shotgun sequence.